UACAGAGGGUGCGAGCGUUAAUCGGAAUUACUGGGCGUAAAGCGUGCGUAGACGGCUAUCUAAGUCGGGUGUGAAAGCCCCCGGGCUCAACCUGGGAAUUGCAUUCGAGACUGAAUAGCUAGGGUACGGUAGAGGGAAGUGGAAUUUCCGGUGUAGCGGUGAAAUGCGUAGAUAUCGGAAGGAACAUCAGUGGCGAAAGCGACUUCCUGGACCAGUACCGACGUUCAGGCACGAAAGCGUGGGGAGCAAACAGG
rnacentral:rRNA from 1 species